rnacentral:lncRNA from 1 species
UAAUUGCUACUAUAUUUCCAAUUUUUUUAAAAAAGUGCAAACGAGUCCCAAAUAAGUUAUUAAAAAAAUUAAAAAAUAUAAAUCUUCUUCUUUCUCCUUUCCUUUCAUACUGCUUCGCCACCGGAUUAAAGAACUAAUCACAGUAAACAAAACUGUUCACUGUAUACAUUACCAGCAUCACCGCAUUCAUUCCACUGCUCUCUCUUCUACAUUUUUUGUAUUUUUGACACAAAAUUGAGCUAAAUUGAGGAAAAAAUUUAGGGUUAACAAGCUUUAAAUUCUUUUGAUGAUAUGAAAUAGUGGCUACUGUAACAAUUAAUACUAAGCUUCCUUCACAGAACCCAAAGAGAAUGGCAUUGUUGUCUUCCGAGCCCGAAAAUGGAAAUUUGCAUAGGCCAAAAGCAUAGAAUGUCACUUCUUGCUACUUGUUUGUUCCAAUUUCGCCUUCUUCAAAUUCUUCAUCAUCAAGUUCUAGAAAUAACUCUACCUUGUCCUCAAAUAAGAGUUGGCUUAUGGCUAUAGAGGCAACACCAUCGAAUGCGAAG